UACAGAGGGUGCAAGCGUUAAUCGGAAUUACUGGGCGUAAAGCGAGCGUAGUCGGUUGUUUAAGUCGGAUGUGAAAUCCCCGGGCUCAACCUGGGGAUUGCAUUCGAUACUGGACAGCUAGAGUUCGGCAGAGGGAAGCGGAAUUUCCGGUGUAGCGGUGAAAUGCGUAGAUAUCGGAAGGAACAUCAGUGGCGAAGGCGACUUCCUGGACCAAUACUGACGCUCAGGUGCGAAAGCGUGGGGAGCAAACAGG
rnacentral:rRNA from 1 species